AGGACGAACGCUGGCGGCGUGCUUAACACAUGCAAGUCGAACGCUGUCCAUUCGGUGGCAACACUGAUGAAGACGGAGUGGCGAACGGGUGAGUAGCACGUGAGCAACCUGCCCCGAAGACCGGGACAACACCGGGAAACCGGUGCUAAUACCGGAUAUCCCCACCGGAUCGCAUGGUCUGGUGAGGAAAUGGAUUCCGCUUCGGGAGGGGCUCGCGGCCUAUCAGCUUGUUGGUGAGGUAACGGCUCACCAAGGCUUCGACGGGUAGCUGGUCUGAGAGGACGAUCAGCCACACUGGGACUGAGACACGGCCCAGGCUCCUACGGGAGGCAGCAGUGGGGAAUCUUGCGCAAUGGGCGAAAGCCUGACGCAGCAACGCCGCGUGAGGGACGAAGGCUUUCUGAGUUGUAAACCUCUUUCAGCAGGGACGAUUGUGACGGUACCUGCAGAAGAAGCACCGGCCAACUACGUGCCAGCAGCCGCGGUGAUACGUAGGGUGCAAGCGUUGUCCGGAUUUAUUGGGCGUAAAGAGCUCGUAGGCGGUUUGAUAAGUCGGAUGUGAAAUCCCCAGGCUUAACCUGGGGUCGCCAUUUGAUACUGUCAUGACUUGAGUCCGGUAGGGGACCACGGAAUUCCUGGUGUAGCGGUGAAAUGCGCAGAUAUCAGGAGGAACACCAGCGGCGAAGGCGGUGGUCUGGCCGGCACUGACGCUGAGGAGCGAAAGCGUGGGGAGCGAACAGGAUUAGAUACCCUGGUAGUCCACGCCGUAAACGUUGGGCACUAGGUGUGGGGCCUAUUCAACGGGUUCCGUGCCGCAGCUAACGCAUUAAGUGCCCCGCCUGGGGAGUACGGCCGCAAGGCUA
rnacentral:rRNA from 1 species